CCUACGGGGGGCAGCAGUGAGGAAUAUUGGUCAAUGGACGAGAGUCUGAACCAGCCAAGUAGCGUGAAGGAUGACUGCCCUAUGGGUUGUAAACUUCUUUUAUAUGGGAAUAAAAUGUUCCACGUGUGGGCUUUUGUAUGUACCAUAUGAAUAAGGAUCGGCUAACUCCGUGCCAGCAGCCGCGGUAAUACGGGGGAUCCGAACGUUAUCCGGAUUUAUUGGGUUUAAAGGGAGCGUGGGUGGAUUGUUAAGUCAGUUGUGAAAGUGUGCGGCUCAACCGUAAAAUUGCAGUUGAAACUGGCAGUCUUGAGUACAGUAGAGGUAGGCGGAAUGCGUGGUGUAGCGGUGAAAUGCUUAGAUAUCACGAAGAACUCCGAUUGCGAAGGCAGCUCACUGGACUGCAACUGACACUGAGGCUCGAAAGUGUGGGUAUCAAACAGGAUUAGAUACCCUUGUAGUC
rnacentral:rRNA from 1 species